rnacentral:rRNA from 1 species
UACGUAGGGUGCAAGCGUUGUCCGGAAUUAUUGGGCGUAAAGAGCUCGUAGGCGGUCUGUCGCGUCGGCUGUGAAAACUCGGGGCUCAACCCCGAGCUUGCAGUCGAUACGGGCAGGCUAGAGUUCGGCAGGGGAGACUGGAAUUCCUGGUGUAGCGGUGAAAUGCGCAGAUAUCAGGAGGAACACCGGUGGCGAAGGCGGGUCUCUGGGCAGUAACUGACGCUGAGGAGCGAAAGCGUGGGGGAGCGAACAGG